rnacentral:lncRNA from 1 species
ACCUUACUUGUCUAGUUCAAUUCGGUGGAAGGAAAUAUUGCUUUAGCAGUAACUAUUAUGAUUAGGUGAUUGCUUAGCAAGCUGAUUUGUAGAGCCUACAAAUAAAGUCUUACACAAAUUCUUACAAUCUUGUUGGUUUCUCUUUUUAAAUCCCACCCUUUCCCUACUAAAAAAAAAGUAUAGAUGAAAUCAUGUAAAUCUGUGGUCAAGAGUUAAAGCACAGGA